rnacentral:rRNA from 1 species
GUCUAUGGCCAUGCCACCCUGAACAAGCCCGAUGUCUGAUCUUGGAAGCUAAGCAGAGUCGGGCCUGGUUAGUACUUGGAUGAGAGACCACUUAGGAAGACCAGGUGCUGUAGGCA